UUAUUUAUAGUAGGUAAUAUAUCGCUUCGUUCGUUCGGGUGACUGUCCGUCAUGGGGUGCCGCGGCAACGCGUCUGUGACGUGCAUCGUCUCCAGUCUCCAUUCCCCAAACACGACACUAUUUUUCAUAUUCCUCUCUAUGAGUUGGUGGUUUGCAGCCUCGUGUAACGGAUUUGUAAUAAAUUUUGAUCUUUUUUCACAUGUUUUUACUGAAAAUUCUGUUGUAUGUUACGAUAGUUGUCUAUUAAAACUUAGACUGCUGACAACGAGCGAUUUACUGUAUUAUUAUUCUCAAAUAUUUUCGUUUGAAACCUCGGAUUCAGAUGUCAACACGAAAGGUGCUAAUUUGUAAUCUUCCUGAAGACACUACUUCAAAUGAAAUCAUUCAGGAGCUGUUUAAAUCACAGCAUUUUAAGUAUUCAGAUAUAAAAUUUCAUGGAGACACAGCUGUUGUUACUCUGUCCAACCCAAGUGAAGCAAGAAGGGCUGCUAAACUUAUUAAUGGACAGUUAUUUCGAGGCAUAAGAAUCUCAGUUGUUGAAGCACCACCCUCUGAGUUAUCUUCUGUCAAUACUCCAUCAUCAAAUGGAAAUAGUACCUUUGUCUUGGUUGGUAAUCUUUCUUUUGACACUACAGAAGCUCAAUUCAAAGACUUGAUGAGUCCACAUGGAGAAAUCAAAAAUGUUAUCCUUGUUCGUUGUAAAUUAUCCAGGAAGAGUAAAGGCUACGGUUUUAUUGAAUAUAAGCAUAAAGAAAGUGCAGCUCGGGCGAGAGAUCAUUUUUCUAACACUAGUGCAAAAUAUGUCGAUGGCAGAAAAAUACGGGUUGAAAUAGUUCCUAAAAGUGUCACGGUUGGGGAGGCAAAACAUUCAUAUUCUUUGUUUAUUGAUAAAUUACCCAAGGGAUUUGAUAAUGAAGAAGAACUCCGAGGAUUGUUCAGCUCAGUGGGAACCAUCACUUACUGCAAGAUUGCAAGAACAAAGCAAGGUCAGCCUGGUGGUUAUGCAUUAGUUGAUUACACCACUGUACAGGCAGCUGAAAGAGGACAAACAAAACUUGAUGGUAAAAGGCUUUGGGAUUCUAACAUUCGUAUUUCUUUUUCUACACCUGGAAAAACUGCUCAAUCUUUGAUUGCCAAACAGGAAGAUAUGUUUGGUUUUGAUUUCUGUGGUUCACCACAAGUAAUGAAUCAUUUGGCACCAAGAAUACCUCCAAACUUUAAUCCAGUGUUGCAAGUACCCAUUAAUGCUUUUGAUAUUCAUGGUAUGCCUGCACCUGUAAACAUGUUUGGACCUAUGGGACCACCAGUUGCAUUGUCUACACCACCAUUGAGAGUCCCUGUACUUCAACCAGCUGUAUCUCAUGGAUGGAAUCCACGUCUCAGAACUCCUCCCAAUCCCAAUGUACUGCGUCCUCUUAUGAAGCAUCGUGCUCAAAAAGACAGAACCAAUGCCGUCAAAAUGAAGUCGAAGACAACUGUUGAAAAAAAGCCAAAGGAAUUUAUUAAAAAAGAUGAUAAUAUAAAGAAGGGAAAGGAAGAAACGAAGAAUGUAAUCAAGAAAGAUGAUUCAAAAACUGAAAAAGUUUCUAAAAAAGCUGAUGAAGCUGUAGAACAAAACAUGAAUGAGUUUUCAGGAAAGGGGCCAAGCAAAUCAAACGAAAAUUCAAAUGAAAAAGAUACUGUUGACGAGGAAGGCAAUGGUCUUACACGUGUAGUCUUUGCGGACGAUGAAGAGUUGAAACUGUUCAAAGAAUUUCAAAAAUUUCAAGAACUUAUGAAGAAACAGAAGGAGAAUUCUCAAUCAAACGAACAUAGAACGCUGUCAUUACAAGACUUGAUUUCAGUUGCAGCUGGUACAAGUCAAAAUGAAAAAAGUAAACCUGAAAGUAGUCAUUCUCAAAAAGCAAAAAAAACCUUAUCUGAGGAAAAUGUUUCUCACUUUGCUACAAAACCAUCCAUGGCUCCUAAAGAACCUUCAAUAGCCCCAACAAAACCUUCGAUAGCCCCUACAAAACCUUCGAUAGCCCCUAUAAAACCUUCAAUAGCACCUAUUAAACUAUCUCCUGCUAUGGUCAAGUCUUCGAUGCCUACAAGAAAUCAACCGGUAGUGUCCAAAAAUGCAUCUGAAAAUUCGAAAGUAUCGUCUUUUCCGUCCAAACACAACUCAAACGUUGAGGCAAACAGAUCAAAUUCAACAGCAUCAACUUUUACACCACAGCGACAUCGUCACGAAAAAUCGACUCCUCCAAAACCACAACAAGUCCAAAAAAAACCACUUUCUCUCAUGGAAUGGUCUCAACCGGAGGAGAGGAAAUCUAAUGAUGCUCGCAGCUACAAUAAUCGUCAAAAAAAGGAAGGAGAGGUUUCGAAAGAAAGUGUCAAGCAGGCUCCUUUGCAUAAUGAUGUUUCUUCGUCUUUGAAAAGGAAAUCGCUGCCAUCAAAACCUCCUAGUGUUGACAAUUUCUUGAAUAACUAUUUUGGUGGAAAAGUACCGAAAGAACAAGAUUUUGGCAAUCAGCGCAAAACAAAUGAUAAUCAGAUCGAUACACGAGUUCCUUAUGGUAAUGUUCAUAAAAGUGGUGAAAAAAUGUCAUCUGUUGGUGAUGUAACACACGGAACAUCAAAAUCAAACCUACCAUUUGGUCAGGAAAGACGGCUUUUGGUGAAGAUAUUGAAUGGCUUGUGUUUUGUCUUUGGAAAAUGACUUUUUCAUGAGGAUGAUUCAAUUCGUCUUUGAGGCCCAAGAAAAAAUGUAACACCACGUCAACUAAGACAUCGUGUUUAUUAAAGAGCCCAAAAUUGUUUGAUCAAAAAGAAUUAGUCACUGCAGUGGUUUCCAUUCUUACAAAACGUCGUUCAUUGGCCACAAAAGAUGUUCGAGGUUAGUUCUUAGCGUAUGAUACAUGUACUAUUGUGUUGACUAGACUGUCCAAUGCAGCAUUAUAAUAAUGAAGUUUACUUAAGUUGUAUGGUUGAAUUGGUGGAGUAAAAUGCUGUUGUAUAAAUGAUUUUUUUCUAAUAAAUUGAUAAAAAAAUGUUCCAAGUUGAUUCAAAUUACAAAUCUAAGGUUGUGCACUAACUUCCUACACUAGUUUUAUUCUCUUCUGCUUGGGAUCUAGCUCAGAAAAAUUUAGAUUUUCAUCUCUGUAAUGAUCUUUCGCAGAGUGUUGAUCACGAACACCUGUGACAUGUUGGGUGAAGUUGUUGAAAGAAAGUAUUUGUUUUUGAAGAAAUUCUGAGUUGAAACUAGAAUUAAGGGAGUAUAAUUUUUACAGAGUCGAUGGUUGCUUCGCACCGUUGUGUUAUCGACGAAGUUCACGAGCCUUCUACGUAUAUCUUUCUACUGCUUCUUAAUAAAAUGCAAUGACAUACAUUUAAGUAACAUAUCUGGCAUAUGAAAUACAGUGUAGUACCACAAGAAAUGGCAAUAUUUACAUUUAUUUUCUUCAUGGCGUAUAAUCAUUAUUUACUCUAAAUGUUUAAACAUGCAGAAUUUCGUCGAAGGUAGAUAAAUUGCUCGAUAUAAAUACAAAAUUAAUAGAUUGUGCAAAAGCUCAAACUGGUAUGAUGUUAUGAUUCUUGUUUUCUCCAUUUGAAUGGCAUUCAAUUCGUUUACCUAUAUUGGAUUUUUUAUGAAUUCUAUUUGUGUUAUUCGGUUUUUGCGGUCUUUAAUGCAAACAGAAUAUCUUCUUUGUUAACAUUUAAUCUGAUUCUUUGUUUUAUGUCACAUCUCCCAGAAUCCACCAGUAAAAGUUUCAUUGCAUUUAAACGUUGACAGAUUGUGGAAGCCAUAGAGGUGACUGGUGCAGAUAUUCCUUGUGUAAGAAAAGAAAGAAAAAACCAGAGUUAUACAUUUUUAGCACUUUGCUGUGUUUCCUCGAAUUUAAUGUUGGAAUUGUGAUUAGCAAUUUAUUUUUGCUGAUUCGUAUGUAUGUUUUUAAGGAGCAACCAACUGGUUAUUGGAAACAAGACCAUUUAUCAAAUUGAUUUCUCAAGAUUUGUCUCCAUAAUUAACAUUCUGUUCAUAAUAUUCAUGCAGGUUUUAGAAAAACAGAUCAACAAAAAAUUUCACUGUGUCUACAACUAUUAUGAACGCGCAAUGACUACCAGAAGCUACGAGUGGAAUUAAACGAGACAGGCAAACACAUCCGAAAGUUUAGAAAUUUGUUUACCAUGAAGGCGACAUAACUCGACCAAUUACAUGACAAUCUCUUGGAGUUGUGAAAACGAGUACGGUUGAAAAGUCAUUCUUGUCAAGCCCUGAAAUCGAUUUCAAUUAACACGAAAAUGGAAAAAAGACGUCGUAUGAAUUUAACCGAGAGGAAAUAAUCACGAUAAAAGCAAUUUAAUGAUAAAUAAAUAACUCUUUGAAAUAGAAAUGUUCACAUCAUUUAAUUCAAAUUUUCUAACAUAAGAAACAAAGAAAAAAGUUUUUGCAAAGUACUAAGUGCUAAUGCGACAUCUUACUAGUCUACUGGACACACGAUUAACCAUCAUUCUCUCUGGUAGAUCCAUCGUGUUAGCAAUCGCGAUGACGAUGAGUUUUGAAUUUCUUCGCGCAGGCCAAUCAAACAAAUGAUACAUAACGUCUUGUUUUCGUGUCCAUAGCUGAUCAAGCUGGCCAAACAAAGUAAAACAAAACUGAUUUUUUACAAUUGUAUUUUGGAAUUAUCAUUAUAUUUUAGAAAUGAAAA